rnacentral:rRNA from 1 species
ACGGCCUUAUCACAUUGAAAACACCGGUUCUCGUCCGAUCACCGAAGUUAAGCAAUGUGGGCCCGGUCAGUACUUGGGAGGGUGACCACCUGGGAACACCGGGUGCUGUAGGCU